GUAACUGGAGCCGACCCGCAUGGCGAACUAACAGCUAAUGAGCGGCGAUCCCACACUAAGAUCAAAGCUGCAACAAAUGAAAGAAAACCAGAGGCUAUUUGGAUUUCUUGUACCCGAGACUCCUCUACUCCCCCAUCUAAAGACACUUGCUUAUGUUUCCUUCCUCCUACAAUUCUCAUUUGGGAUACCCACGAAAACCAAACUGAGAGGAAUUACCACUCCUGGCGAAGGGGUGGCUACCAUUAGCAGCUGGACGCCCGGUGUGGACUUACAAACUGUCCCCGUGUAUGCUGUCAAGUGUAUGCUGUCCUCCUGACGCUGGUUGAUACCGAGCGAAAAGCAUAAGAAUCUGCCAUAAAGGUAUUUAAAAUAAAUAUAUUACUUGAAAUAAUAUAGGAGCAGGAGGAGCAGGAGGAAGAGCAGAGGAAAGAUCAGGAGGGAGUGUCAAGUUAAAGAAGGAGUGAAAAGAAAUAAGAGAAGAACAGAUUAGAUGUAUUAAUUUAUAAAGGAGGGGAAAGAAGAGGGGGAGAAAGAGGAAGGAAAA